rnacentral:snRNA from 1 species
GGAUGUGAGGGCAAUCUGGCUGUAACAUCUUGUCACCCCAUUGAUUGCCAGAGUUGAUUCAGCUUAUGUGGCUGGCUAGGUGGGUGUCCCCUUCCUCCCUUACUGCUCCACGUGUAUCCCUCCUGAAGCUGCGCUCUCAGUUGAAGAGGACCACCAUCUCAAAUAAAGGAGGACUGUUCUUUGGUUCAGGGUAUAUGAGGAGCUGCGCUCCCCUCCUAGAUCUUCCAAACAAGCUCAAAAAAGAAACUGGCUGGGGAUGUAUCUCAGUGAGUAGAGCACUUGGCUAGCAUGCAUGA